rnacentral:lncRNA from 1 species
AAGCCUGCUGCAGAAAAUUACAUAAGUAAUGAAGAGCAGAAUGUUAGUCAUCAAGACAAUGGGGAAAAUGUCUCCAGGGCAUUUCAGAAACCUUCAUGACAGCCACUCCCAUCACAGGCGCAGAGCCCUAGUAGGAAAAAAUGGUUUCAUGGGCAAGCCCAGAGCCCUCCUGCUGUAUACAGCCUAGAGACAUGAUGCCCUGCAUCCCAGCCUCUCCAGCCAUGGCUAAAAGAGGCCAAGGUACUUGGAAACCUGUACCUAGAAUUCAGAGGAUGUAUGAAAAUGCCUGGAUGUCCAGGCAGAAGUUUGCUGCAUGGGAAGAGCCCUCAUAAAAAACAUCAGCUUGGGUAGUGUGGAAGGGAAAUGUAGGGUUGGAGCCCCGACACAGAGUUCCCACUGGAGCACUGCCUAGUGGAUCUGUGAGAAGAGGUUCACUGUCCUCCAGACCCCAGAAUGGU